CUUGGCUGUGGCAGGGCUGUCAGGGCCCCUGGACAUGGUCACUUUGGGGCAGGAAUGGGAAAUAUAUUGCUAGAUGAUGUGCGCUGCGCGGGAAAUGAGGCUUCUUUGGAGCAAUGUCAUCAUGCAGGCUGGGGCAUCCACAACUGCAAACACCAGGAAGAUGCCGGGGUCAUCUGUGAAGGCUACCCCAGUGAAAGUGAAGGAGCUGAUCUAAAUGCUUUACCCAGCUCUGUUGUACCCAAGAAACACGG
rnacentral:lncRNA from 1 species